GUGAAGAGUGAGGGGAGAGAAAAAAAGGGAAACUUCAGGCACUUGGACCUUUCCCGAGGACGAUCAUUAGAAUGUGUCUCAAUCCUGUGAAGAUUAAUUUUCAAUGAUAAAAGCAAUGUGAGGAACUUCAGCUAAGUCCCCAUCUUCACCUGGUGUUUUCCAACCUGAACGCAUUUGAACAAGAAAAUUGAAAGACUGAGUGGGGGUGGGG